rnacentral:lncRNA from 1 species
CCGAGGCUGACAGCCUAAUCUCUCCACAGAUGCUGUGUUUCUGAAUUGAUCAUUCCUCCCCCCCAGGGGGCUGUGCCCACCGCUUCCUGUGCUGUGUUGCUGUCCAGGCAGAAGUGCCUCCUUAAACUCACCUGCAGUGCAAAGGGAAGUCUUCAGAGUCCCACACCGAUGUGCUUCUCCUGAUGGUAGUGGUUCUUCCAGUGUGGCCAGGGACCAGUGACAUGAGAGUUGCCUGAGAACUUGUCAGAAGUACAGAUUCCUGGGUCCCACCCAGACCUGCUGAGUCAGAAGCCCUGUGGAUGGAACCCAAUAAUUUGUG